rnacentral:lncRNA from 1 species
GGAAAUUAGAAAUUAAAACUGUCACUAAAGGGCCCUAUAGCGACAGAACCGUCGCUACAGGUGUUCUUGGUGUUCUUGAUGCCUGCCCAGAUCUUCAAGUCAGUGAACAAGGUAGGUGGUUUGACCGGAUAUAGAUCUUUGGUCCUUACGUUUUCUGGGCUGCUAAAGUGUUAAGAUUGUAGUACUUAUGUAGUACUACAACUACAAACGACUGUCAUGGCCAUCAUGCAUCUAAACAGAAAGUUAUAGGCCAUCAAAAUCCUUGUCAGACAUGUUCUUCAUUUUCUGGGUUACCCAGAAAAUGAAGAACAGUCAAGGUACCUACUUUGGAUCCUUAUAGUUUGCAGUAUAGGUCUUGUUUGUAUAAUAUAGUGGUUCCAUCAUGUAGAAAUAAUGUCAGAGUACAACUACAUACCCUCAUAUAAGUCUAAUCAACAUUACAGAUGAGAGAUUAAGGCCGGUCAAAGU